ACACCAGCCCCUCGAGUGGUGGGGAUGAUUAUUUGGUCUAAAGCGUCCGUAGCCGGCUGAGUAAGUUUCCCGUUAAAUCCAGCGUCUCAAGCGUUGGACUGCGGGAAAUACUGCUCGGCUAGAGAGUGGGAGACGUCAACGGUAUUCUGGGGGUAGGGGCGAAAUCCUUUGAUCCCCGGAGGACCACCAGUGGCGAAGGCUGUUGACAAGAACACGUCUGACGGUCAGGGACGAAAGCUGGGGUAGCGAACCGGAUUAGAUACCCGGGUAGUCCCAGCCGUAAACGAUGCAUGCUAGGUGUUAGGUUGGCCACGUGCCACCCUAGUGCCGCAGGGAAGCCGUUAAGCAUGCCACCUGGGGAGUACGGCCGCAAGGCUGAA
rnacentral:rRNA from 2 species